GUACGGCCGCAAGGUUAAAACUCAAAUGAAUUGACGGGGGCCCGCACAAGCGGUGGAGCAUGUGGUUUAAUUCGAUGCAACGCGAAGAACCUUACCUACUCUUGACAUCCAGAGAACUUAGCAGAGAUGCUUUGGUGCCUUCGGGAACUCUGAGACAGGUGCUGCAUGGCUGUCGUCAGCUCGUGUUGUGAAAUGUUGGGUUAAGUCCCGCAACGAGCGCAACCCUUAUCCUUUGUUGCCAGCGGUUCGGCCGGGAACUCAAAGGAGACUGCCAGUGAUAAACUGGAGGAAGGUGGGGAUGACGUCAAGUCAUCAUGGCCCUUACGAGUAGGGCUACACACGUGCUACAAUGGCAUAUACAAAGAGAAGCGACCUCGCGAGAGCAAGCGGACCUCAUAAAGUAUGUCGUAGUCCGGAUUGGAGUCUGCAACUCGACUCCAUGAAGUCGGAAUCGCUAGUAAUCGUGGAUCAGAAUGCCACGGUGAAUACGUUCCCGGGCCUUGUACACACCGCCCGUCACACCAUGGGAGUGGGUUGCAAAAGAAGUAGGUAGCUUAACCUUCGGGAGGGCGCUUACCACUUUGUGAUUCAUGACUGGGGUGAAGUCGUAACAAGGUAACCGUAGGGGAACCUGCGGUUGGAUCACCUCCUUACCUUAAAGAA
rnacentral:rRNA from 1 species